GCAUGUAAAUAAAUGGAUUCCACAGAAGAGUGAGGCCUCAUCUCAGCCUGCUGCCUGGGCACUGAAACUCACCCUGAGCUGUCUCAUUAGCCCAGAAUCUUGCACUUGGAAGACAGUAGAUCAACGUCUUCUCGCUCUACAGGUCACCACCCUCAGACUUUGUCUUCAGGAAGAAAUGCUUCCAGAGAACAUCACCUAAGAACAAGGGCAUUCUCUUACAUAACCACAGCAUAAUUACCAAAAUCAGUCCACUUGUUCCCGUUAAAUAUUGAAGCCGUCAAAAUCAUCUUUCAAGAAAGGCACAGACCUGUCUCCUGGUCACAUCCUCGACCUUGGCAAAAUAAACUUCAAAACUGAUUGAGACCUGUCUCAUGAAUUCCUGAGAAAAACCUAUUUGCAUGAAUUCAUGAGCAGUUUAAUUUAUUAAAUCAUGAAUAUAUAACAUUACAUCAAUAGAACCAAUAAGAAAAAACAUACAAUAUCCUCUAUGCUGAGAAAGUGGCAGAAGAAUUUAAUACCCAUUUCUUGGAAAAUGAAAUAUUGGAAUAUACAGAAAAGUGAAAAAUCAAAAAGGGUGGUGUUGGCAAAAAAAGACUGGAUAGAUGGAAGGAACAAUGGAGGUGAUACAGAAUGUAGCAUGUGAAGAAGCAGAAUGAAAAAGGAUACAUCACAAAUCAAACAGAAAAAUUUACUAAAUCACUUUUUAUCUACUUCCACAAUAAUGCUGUAAAGAAAACCACUUCAAAGCUUGGUGGAGCAAAGCAAUAAACAUUUAUGAUUGCUCAUGAGCCUAGGGUCAGCUGGGUGGUUCUUCUGGUUGGGACAGGGCAAGGGUGAUCUUGGUUAGGCUCACUCAGCUGGAGGGUUGUUGACUGGUGACUGGAUGAUCUAAGAUGGUUAUGCCUGGGACAGAUAUAAAUAUAGAAGAAAGUAGAAAUUUGGUUUUGUUUGUAGCUCCUCUUAAAAUAUCCUAUCUGAUUUAAAAGACUACUGCCUAAUGCAAUAAUUGUACAUCUAAGUAGAUUGAUACACAAUGUAUUAAGGCCUCAAAAUAUAUGAAGAUGUAUAUUGGGACCAUAACAGCCCUAAGGGGUAGGGGAA
rnacentral:lncRNA from 1 species